rnacentral:rRNA from 1 species
UGACGGAGCGAAGCGACGUCAAAGCGUUCAUUAAAGUCGAGUUGGCUUAGGGAUACGUUCGUUGGGUAGGGGAGCGUUCUGUAAGCCUGUGAAGGUGUGUCGUGAGGCAUGCUGGAGGUAUCAGAAGUGCGAAUGCUGACAUAAGUAACGAUAAAGCGGGUGAAAAGCCCGCUCGCCGGAAGACCAAGGGUUCCUGUCCAACGUUAAUCGGGGCAGGGUGAGUCGACCCCUAAGGCGAGGCCGAAAGGCGUAGUCGAUGGGAAACGGGUUAAUAUUCCCGUACUUGGUGUUACUGCGAAGGGGGGACGGAGAAGGCUAUGUUGGCCGGGCGACGGUUGUCCCGGUUUAAGCGUGUAGGUGUGUGUUCCAGGUAAAUCCGGUUCACUUUAACACUGAGGCGUGACGACGAGGCACUACGGUGCUGAAGCAACAAAUGCCCUGCUUCCAGGAAAAGCCUCUAAGCAUCAGGUAACACGAAAUCGUACCCCAAACCGACACAGGUGGUCAGGUAGAGAAUACCAAGGCGCUUGAGAGAACUCGGGUGAAGGAACUAGGCAAAAUGGUGCCGUAACUUCGGGAGAAGGCACGCUGACACGUAGGUGAAGUGAUUUACUCAUGGAGCUGAAGUCAGUCGAAGAUACCAGCUGGCUGCAACUGUUUAUUAAAAACACAGCACUGUGCAAACACGAAAGUGGACGUAUACGGUGUGACGCCUGCCCGGUGCCGGAA